rnacentral:rRNA from 1 species
GACGAACGCUGGCGGCGUGCUUAACACAUGCAAGUCGAGCGGUAAGGCCCUUUCGGGGGUACACGAGCGGCGAACGGGUGAGUAACACGUGGGUGACCUGCCCUCAGCUCUGGGAUAAGCCUGGGAAACCGGGUCUAAUACUGGAUAUGACUCCAUGACGCAUGUUGUGGGGUGGAAAGCCUUGUGCGGCUGAGGAUGGGCCCGCGGCCUAUCAGCUUGUUGGUGGGGUGANGGCCUACCAAGGCGACGACGGGUAGCCGGCCUGAGAGGGCGACCGGCCACACUGGGACUGAGACACGGCCCAGACUCCUACGGGAGGCAGCAGUGGGGAAUCUUGCGCAAUGCGCGAAAGCGUGACGCAGCAACGCCGCGUGCGGGAAGACGGCCUCGGUGUAACG